CCGUUGACCUUCACCCAAGAAAAAGAAAUAAAAUUUCAUCUUCCUUUCCAAGAGCUAACCGAUGCACACCUUCCUCUUUUCUUCUUCUCUUUUCUUUUCAUCUUCAAGAAAACAAGCUUUUUUAUCUCCCUCAAGCUUGUGACUCCAUGGCAAGGGAAGAAGAAAAAUAUUUUCUUCAAAGCUUGGAACCAAAGCUUGAUCUUAUCUUCCAAAGGAUGAAAUAUUGAAGUGCUAUCACUUUGUUCUUCAUCUACACGGGUUUAUCACCAAUUGGUCCUCCACUUGUAUUUUGAAAGAAGCUAAGAGUUCAAGUUAAGGUGAGGAGUAAUUAUUUGGGUUAAUGCUAAGCAUAGAAUGGACAUUAGAUUGUAGUAUCGUGGCUUUCUCUUUUAAAGGAAGGGCUAAAAAAUAUUGUAUGAGUAUUAACACGCUUAUGCUAUUUAUUGGAAUAUGACCUAUAUUGACGUUGGAAGUAUCGAG